AGCAGCCGCGGUAAUUCCGGCUCCAAUAGCGUAUAUUAAAGUUGUUGCAGUUAAAAAGCUCGUAGUUGAAUUUCGGGAUCAAUAUGUUGGUCGUGCCUCGGUACGUACUAGCAUAUUGGUUUCUCCUUUCUGAAGAACCAUGAUGUCAUUUAUUUGGUGUCGUGGGGAAUCAGGACUGUUACUUUGAAAAAUUAGAGUGUUUAAAGCAGGCUCACGCUUGAAUACAUUAGCAUGGAAUAAUGAAAUAGGACGUUUUGAUUCUAUUUUGUUGGUUUCUAGGAUCGACGUAAUGAUUAAUAGGGAUAGUUGGGGGCAUUAGUAUUCAAUUGUCAGAGGUGAAAUUCUUGGAUUUAUUGAAGACUAACUACUGCGAAAGCAUUUGCCAAGGAUGUUUUCAUUAAUCAAGAACGAAAGUUAGGGGAUCGAAGACGAUCAGAUACCGUCGUAGUCUUAACCAUAAACUAUGCCG
rnacentral:misc_RNA from 1 species